GCUGGGCGUAGUGGCGGGCGCCUGUAGUCCCAGCUACUCGGGAGGCUGAGGCAGGAGAAUCGCUUGAACUCGGGAGGCAGUGGUUGCAGUGAGCCGAGGUUGCGCCACUGCACUCCAGCCUGGGUGACAAAGAGAGACUCUGUCUCAA
rnacentral:SRP_RNA from 1 species